rnacentral:lncRNA from 1 species
CUUUCCAAAGGUCUUUUAUCAUUAGUUUGUCAAAAAAAAAAUCAUUCUUUUUUAUAAUUCAGAUUUCUGACUUCAACUGACCUAGCGGGAUCAAACAACUAAUAGAGAGGAAAAAAGAAAUUUUUUUAAUGUGUCAUGUAAUUACUAAGCUGUUACAACAGAUCAAAGCCCUCUCAAGAGCCCUAACCCUUGUUUAUAACAAUACACAAUUACCAGCCUCAGGAUGGCAUGUGUUGGAAAGCCAGGGGACUCAGUGGACUUCAAAGGUCCAAGAGAAGCCAGAAAAAGAAGACAGGAAGAAUUUUAUGCCUCUAUCAAGUGAGAUAUCUCUGUAUUUUGUGCAGUCCAGAACACUCCAAUCAUGUGUGCACAUUCUUCUUUGUGCCUCAAGUUCCAAAUAAAAGUUGC